ACACUGCAGCACGAGCUUAUUGAAGCUGACCACGGGUCAAUCAUGGUGCUUGUGAUUAUAUUUUAAUGAAUUUGAACCCUUAGCCCGACGAAGACGCUAGGGCUUAAACGGAGAGAGUAUGUGAGGAUCCAUGCAAGUGUAUAUUUAUUCCCACAUCAGCUAUGUACAUGGUAGAUCUUGGAUAGUUACAUAGGAUCAAGAAACCUAAAUAAUACCUUCCGACUAGCUUCUUUGAAUGAAAUCCUAGGUUGCGACAAGCAUACUUCAAAAUAUAGUACAACACGAACCUCAAGAAAAGAGGCGUGAACGAGGACAUAAAUGAAAACUCAGACAUAUCAUAGACUCAUCGAACAACAUAUAACACCAGACAAAAGCAUGCCUAGGUUUUCUAACAAAGCGUCAGUGAUAGCAGAAACUCUGGAACACGAAGAAAGGCAAUAAAAAUUGUACAACAUACAAAAGGAUGGAGAUUUUACCAGUGAAUUCAAGAGAUAAUAGGAGAUGCUCGCAUAGAAAAACAUGGUUUGAUUAAUGUCUUGGAGAUCAACCAUCUUCAGUAAAAGUGACUUGCAGAGAUAAAAAAAAACCUGCCAAGAAUGAAAAGGCAGCAUGUGAGUUGAAGCCUGAACAUCCUUCUGUCUUAGCUGGGUGAAUAUCAUCACAGGGAACCGAAGGCAUGGUAGAAAGGGUGAUGAGAGGCCAAAACCAAUUCCACAUCCCCCCAGAUUCAAUGAGCUAAAGUAGCACUCGUAAAAAAAAAACUUAUCCUCUGUCAGGGUAUGUGGCAACACUUCUUUUAUGGCUAAAAGGAACUUUACAAAUUGUUUUGAUUCUUCAACUCUGAGGUAGUACAUGAGUUAGGGGCUAGGAUUUUUAAGUCUGCCAUGCAGUCCAUUCAAAUUCAGUUUAUCUCUUGCAAUAAGGACAGAGCCUUAAAUCAGUCUCAAAAUUUCCUCAUUUUUCUUUUUCUGGAUAGAUGUAUAGGCCUAAAUAUGAUGUAAUUGGAAACUGCAUCAGGUCAAUGUUUUAUCUUCUAGUUUGAUUGGGAUAAACCGGCACCUUUAGGUUAUAAUAGGUGUGAUCUAAGUGAUGAUGCCUUUUGUUACUUCUGAAGAAGUUGUUGUCAGUGAAAGAAACUAGUUCUCAUUCCCUGUUCAACAAAUAUAAACAAAAUAAUUAAGCCACUAAUGCAAUUUGCAGUAUACAAGAUUGAUUUCUUUACCCUCUUAUCUAUUUUGCAUUAUAAAGCAAAUAAUUUAGUUCAAGUUUUCUCCAUAGUAGGAAGGCUUUAAAAAUAAAUUAGAGAGGAAAAAACGCUUUGAUGCAUAGUUACUAGAAUAGGAAAUGAAUGAAGGAAACUAGGAAGGCAAGAAAAUAAAAGCAGAUUCUUGGAAAGAGUAAAACCUUCUGACACAGGAAAAACCAACCUUGAAGAAGUAUUCUUCAAAAAAUUAUAAAAUAACAUUUGUUUUUUUUUUUUUAAUUUUGCUUUCUCAGCUUCCUUACUAUAAUGUGACCAUCUUUUUCGCUUAUCCAAUUAACAAUCUCCAAGAGAUGCCCCAUUUAAAAUUUAGAUUCCAUCAAUAUGUAAGAUACUAAACAUGUCAUAAUCCUUCAAUUAGAAAACUCAUCAAGAACUGCAGGAAUCACAUAUUUUCUCGUAUUUUUUCUACUCCAAUGAAACAGGUUUCCAGUUCAUUAUUUUGCUUUCCCAGAUGAGUUCUUUAAAAGCCCUAAUAGAGUGUGAAUUGAGAUUCCUGCUAGGCUGCAACAAUGCUUUUCUUUUCUUUUCUUUUCCCUUCUUUUUCAAAGGAAACUCCUGCUACUCUCUUCUGGUGAUAAUUCUCAAUCCAAUAAUUGAAAUUGAAAUUGAAAUCUUUUAAAGUUCAGGGGACAAGGUAGUCUAAAAUAAAAGCUGAAAGAAAAAGAGUUCUCGAGAAUCCUCACCUUGGAUGUACCUAGAAAGAUUUCGGAAGACAUGCCAUCAUUCCUCCGUCCCCCACCCACCGCCCCUCCCUUUUCCUUUCCCUUUCCCUUUCUUUUAC
rnacentral:lncRNA from 1 species